CACGUAGGGCGCAAGCGUUGUCCGGAAUUAUUGGGCGUAAAGAGCUCGUAGGUGGUCUGUUGCGUCCGCUGUGAAAACUCGGGGCUCAACUCCGAGCUUGCAGUCGAUACGGGCAGGCUAGAGUUCGGCAGGGGAGACUGGAAUUCCUGGUGUAGCGGUGAAAUGCGCAGAUAUCAGGAGGAACACCGGUGGCGAAGGCGGGUCUCUGGGCCACUACUGACGCUGAGAAGCGAAAGCAUGGGGAGCGAACAGG
rnacentral:rRNA from 1 species